GCAUGUGAAAUCAUUAUGACACACGGUCGUCCUAUUUGACACCUGACCAGUGACGUUGUCAUGACGAUGGACAUUCUCUUAUCGGUUCUUGUUCUGGUAGCUGCCAUUGGUACAGCUCAGGGUCAGUGGUUUGGCGACUGGGAUUUCGAUGACAUGUAUGAUGACUGGGAUGACCGUUGGUUUGGCUGGUGGUGACGGAAACAAGAUAGUUGGUACUACUGGAGUCGUUAGCUAACUACGAGACUUCAAAGAUUCCCAGUUCUACUAUCACGUGCUGUCGUAUUCUAAAAUGCUGAAGAAUUGUACUGAUCAUAUAGACUUGUGCUUUCAUUAUAAAAGAAAAAAUAACAAUUAAAUAUUUUAACUUGUUUGAUAAUAUCUGCAUAUGUGUAAUCUGUAGAAAAUGUAUACUUUUGUUUUCACAUUUUAAUAUAAACAGCUAUAUUAUUAAUA
rnacentral:lncRNA from 1 species